AUGAAACCUUCACCUUGUAAUGACCCCAAGGUGUCUGCUCCUUUGGGAGAACCUCUGCUCCUUCACCCUGGAUACUUUUAUGCUUCCAACUUGGCAGAGCAUGGUUUGGGCUCACAGAUCUUGUCCUCAGAUGGCCACAGACCCUGUCCUCCUGCAAAUGGGGGUCAAACCUCUGCACCCAAAAGACAGCCUGUUUGGGAGAGCAGCUUGGAAACAGGUGAGGGUACCAUCGACCCCUCACAAGUCCCUGCUGACCCCAAGCAUUGUUCUCUGAGCUGUGGGGGGCAGUGCUGGGGGCAGUCCAGCAGGGCCAUCUCCUCCAGCCCCCUCCUGGACCCACACCUCUGCUGCCCAGCACCAGCAGGCCCAGAGCUGCUCUGCCUCUGGCUGCCCCGUGCCCCCGGGGCUCCUCAGCCCUCCGGAGCGACGCACUGGGGCCCAGCCCAGUCCCGAAGAGAGCAGCCCCUGCCCGGCUGCGGCCCAGCCCUGCCAGGCACAGCGCAAGGGCUGCCGAGCCCCAGGGCUGCCGUGGGGAGGGGGCUGGGACCCCAGGGGAGACAGGGCAUUGCCCGCACCAAGGCACCUAGCACUGGCCUAUCAGGCACUGAGCCACAAGUGACCUCGCAACCACAAACAGCAGCCAUGCACCUAGCACUGGCCUAUCAGGCACUGAGCCACCACUGACCUCACAACCACAAACAGCAGCCAUGCGCCUAGCACUGGCCUAGCAGGCACUGAGCCACCACUGACC
ensembl:lncRNA